UCCAGUCGACUCAAACCAAAAAAAAAUAAAAAAUAAAAAAAAAACAAUUCGAUUUUUAAAAUAAUUUAACUUGGGUUAAAAAAACGAAUUUUAAUCAGGAAAAUAUAAAUUUCACUUUUAAAAUUAAACUUUUCAUAAAUUGUUAAAGAGAUGAGGGUGACUAAACUAUAAAAGGACUGAAGACCGAAGAAUGAGAAGAUGCCGUAGUCUUCUGAGCCAAGAUAAAAAAAUUAAAUAAACUAGUGGACAACAACAGACAACUUUUCAUCUGAGAAGACUCUAAGAAAAAUAAAAUAAAAGGAUCUACUGAGAAUCAGCUGAAAGGACUUUCGAGAACGCUCCCGCAUUACGAGUCUUCUUCCAACCUACAUCUCCAAGCAAGGGCUAAAUUGUUCGGCUUUGUGAAUACCUUAAUAGAUUUUCCACAGACUCAAACUGUUAAGCCUUUCUUGUAUUUUAAAUGUUUUUGGUGUGAAUUACCAUGUGGCAACGCGAUACCGAAACCAUACCAUCAGUCAUCGGGACUCACAGGCAGACAUCACCAAAUAUUAUAAAAACUAAGCAAAGUUAAAAAAAACUAAAAAAAUCAAAAAAUAAAAAAAUUUAAAUUUAAACUAAACUG